AUCUUGUUAAGGCAAUUCACCGGUUUAUUUAUAAUCACCAACACAUUUCCAGUAUGAAUUUUUGUUCGGGUUUACCCACCAGGCCAACACUAGAGAAGGGGGCGGUUAGGUUUGAUAGUAUAUACUAGUAUAUAGCUUGUGGGCACUUGAGAAUCUGGAUAGUAUUCUGAUUCAACUGCAUCAGAUUCGUUUGACUUAAAGAAAGGAUCGUGUUUCAGUAAAACAUCCUAAAAACCAGUGCUACAAUCAGUGCUACAAUCAGUGCUACUGCCUGUUAUUUCCAGUGCUACAAAGCCUUUACAAUGGAUCCAGCCCUAAUUGCUCUGAUUUGUAUAGGUGUCGUCAUCGGUUUGAUUGGCUGUUCCUUUGUCCUUGUCUGGAUGACCAAGAAACGCGGAGACUUCACCGGACAGCCCACAGUUUUACCUCACAGAAAUAUUGCACCUUACGGAAAGAUCGCACCACUAUGGCUGAUUCGUCCCUGCGACGCAAAGAGAGCGCCCAUCUACAAAGGCUUAAGCGUUCAUACUAAGCCCAUCUACAAGCUUCCUGUCCAGAUGUCCUCCAAAAGAGAUGAGUGCGUGGUGCAGCUUCUGCCCGGCUUGUGCUUGGAUAAGGCAGACGUAGUCUAGAGAACAGUCUUGUCAAACAGUAUCACCAGAGUAACUUUGAGGAAACAUUUCUUGUUCACUAAAUUGUCCACAUAUUUCUCAAGCGUCUCGUGCCUUUGGAGUGAGAUGGUGUCAAUAUAGAAGUGACUGGAAUGCUAUCUAGAGUCAAUCAUUCGGGGAUGUUAAACACUUUCGUUCAACUCUAGAACUGUCACAGUGUCUUGGACAAAGGAAUCGCAACGCUUUAAACUUGUUUUCGUACAAUGUAAUCUGAAUACGGAUUUCCAAGAAUCUUCAGAUUAACAUUUUGGACUAAGAAAUUCCAAAAAUGUACCGUUCAAUAUUUUUUACUUGGAAAUUCCUAGAAUGUACAGUUCAACAUUUUGGACUAAGAAAUUCAGAAAAUGUACAGUUUAACAUUGUGGACUAGGAAAUUCCGAAAAUGUACAGUUCAACUUUUUGGACGAUGGAAUUCCGAUAAGGUUUAGCUUAAUUCAUAGAGAUGAAUGUUGAAAUUCUGAAAUUGACCUUUAUGAGAGGCGAAUUAAGUGCGAAUUUGUUGAAAGCUAAUACUAAAAUUAUCUUGUUGAAAUGACGCGGACCUUGAAGAUAUAAAUAGCCCAUCACGUGACUAGACUUCAAGAUAAACCAGUAUUUGACUAAAUCAGUGAAAUGACUGUACAGGGACAGUUUUUCGUCCACGGUUCCUUCCAAACGUUCAAGGGGAGAUCAUAGUGAAUAAAUUUGAGUCACUCUCCAUAAAGAUCGAACUCUGUGCAGGGCACACCAUGGUCAAAUAGUUGUAACUGACCUUCCAGUCUUUCAAAAAGUAUUCUUUUAUCCUUUAAAUUUUGUUUUUAGUAGUUAUUGUUGCUCAUGAUUUUCAUCUUCUGUAGUUUGAUUAAUUCAUCAAUUGUUUAGAUUGCUCAUGCGUAACUUUGAGGUUUAGCGACAUUUGUAAGUAGCAGUAUUAAUUUCAAACAUGCAUUUGUAAAAAAAUAAGACUUUAAAAAAAUGAAAUUUUUUUAUUUUUUUUUCAUGCUAAUAAGAUCUUGCCAAACAUGCCCAAGCGUCUUUGCUUAAGAAAUACAUCUCUAGAAUUGAAUUUAUGUGUAUAUAUAACUGAAGAGUAGUUGAGUCUUUUCUUUCACGGUUAUUGUUUUUGUUUUUUAAAUUUAUUUUUGUAUGCAUUCAUCGAUUUUCAAAUGCGAGCUCCAUAUUUCGACUCUUCCUUUUUACUUUGUGUUCAUUGACCUCCAGAGGGCAACGGCUUUGUCUGCAUCAGUUGUGGAAAAAAAUGCAGGUCGCAAACGGGUUGGCAUAGUCAUGUGAAAUUAAUCUUUAAUCUUGGGAAUCGAAGACAUUGCCUCUAUAACUUUCAUUUUUCUUUUUCUUUGACUGACGAAUAGCAGAUACUGAUUUUACUCGACAAUGGAUCGAAUGGCACACAUAAUAAUUAAAACUUAUGUAGAUAUUGUUUCGUUUGUAAUCAAAACUUGUAUGGAGUCUAGAAAAUGUUUUGUUUCGAUUUCUUCGGUUUUCUACUCUACUCCCAAAAGUAACAUUCCACUAUUUAAUGAACGUAUACACCACAGACCUAUAUAUAUAUUAUAUCGGGACUGAUAAACGGAAACAAAUUCUUAUCCGAUAUUGAUCAAUUCACAGACCUAUAUAUAUAUAUAAUGUUUAGGUACGUAACUUUUUUUUCAAGCUGUAAGGGAAGUCGUCCCAAAUCUAGGAAAAUCGACUUUUUCUGUCUUAGAAAUGUGAUGAUCUUUAAUUUUGAAAGUUUAGAAAUAAUGCAAUACCAUUUUAUCGGAUUUUAAUUAGAAUGGGCUAUUAAUUACAGAUAUACAUAUUCACGCAAAUAAAUGAAAUAAAGCCUUUUCCUGUUGGUUUCCAUUGAGAUAAUGUUUCGCAAAUCCUUGAUCGAAAUAAUUCAUGUUGAUUUAAAUCAUCUUAUGUACAUUUAAAUAGAUUGAUUACAUAGAUCUUUGUAGAUUAUGUAUCUAAAAAUUGCAAAAUAAUAAUUUUGAUUCUAGAUUGCUCUUAUUUUUGACGUUCAAUUACUAGAUCUAGAUCUAAACAUUAAAUCAUAUGUUAUAUAGGUUAGGGUUUAAAAAACAACUUCUUAUUACUACUUUAUAUAACAACACCUUGUUUCAGCUUUUUUGAAGUUUUUCACAACAUUGUUUUGUAGUGUUAAAAGAUCUCCAUGUCCAGUCUAGAUAGAAUAUAUAUAGGUCUGUGGUAUACACAUUGAGUGUGUGUAUAGUUCCAGGUUUACAUUCCUCGUGUUUGCAGACAUUUUGUAUUGCUGCUUUUUUUUUUU